rnacentral:rRNA from 1 species
UCUUCGGAGAGUUUGAUCCUGGCUCAGGAUGAACGCUGGCGGCGUGCCUAAUACAUGCAAGUCGAGCGAACUGAUUAGAAGCUUGCUUCUAUGACGUUAGCGGCGGACGGGUGAGUAACACGUGGGCAACCUGCCUGUAAGACUGGGAUAACUCCGGGAAACCGGAGCUAAUACCGGAUAACAUUUUUUCUUGCAUAAGAGAAAAUUGAAAGAUGGUUUCGGCUAUCACUUACAGAUGGGCCCGCGGUGCAUUAGCUAGUUGGUGAGGUAACGGCUCACCAAGGCAACGAUGCAUAG